rnacentral:rRNA from 1 species
UACGUAGGGUGCAAGCGUUAAUCGGAAUUACUGGGCGUAAAGCGUGCGCAGGCGGUUUUGUAAGUCUGACGUGAAAUCCCCGGGCUCAACCUGGGAAUUGCGUUGGAGACUGCAAGGCUGGAGUCUGGCAGAGGGGGGUAGAAUUCCCGGUGUAGCGGUGAAAUGUGUAGAGAUCGGGAGGAACACCGGUGGCGAAGGCGGGUCUCUGGGCAAUUCCUGACGCUGAGGCGCGAAAGCGUGGGGAGCAAACGGG